ACGGGUGAGUAACACGUGAGUAACCUGCCCUUGACUCUGGGAUAAGCCUGGGAAACUGGGUCUAAUACCGGAUAUGACCUUCCAUCGCAUGGUGGUUGGUGGAAAGCUUUUGUGGUUUUGGAUGGACUCGCGGCCUAUCAGCUUGUUGGUGGGGUAAUGGCCUACCAAGGCGACGACGGGUAGCCGGCCUGAGAGGGUGACCGGCCACACUGGGACUGAGACACGGCCCAGACUCCUACGGGAGGCAGCAGUGGGGAAUAUUGCACAAUGGGCGCAAGCCUGAUGCAGCGACGCCGCGUGAGGGAUGACGGCCUUCGGGUUGUAAACCUCUUUCAGUAGGGAAGAAGCGUAAGUGACGGUACCUGUAGAAGAAGCGCCGGCUAACUACGUGCCAGCAGCCGCGGUAAUACGUAGGGCGCAAGCGUUAUCCGGAAUUAUUGGGCGUAAAGAGCUCGUAGGCGGUUUGUCGCGUCUGCCGUGAAAGUCCGGGGCUCAACUCCGGAUCUGCGGUGGGUACGGGCAGACUAGAGUGAUGUAGGGGAGACUGGAAUUCCUGGUGUAGCGGUGAAAUGCGCAGA
rnacentral:rRNA from 1 species